rnacentral:rRNA from 1 species
UACGUAGGUGGCGAGCGUUGUCCGGAAUUAUUGGGCGUAAAGGGAGCGCAGGCGGAUGUUUAAGUCGUACUUAAAAGUGCAGAAGUAAUGUUUGUGAUGGGUACGAAACUGAAUGUCUUGAGAGCAGGAGAGGCAAGCGGAAUUCCCAGUGUAGCGGUGAAAUGCGUAGAUAUUGGGAGGAACACCAGUGGCGAAGGCGGCUUGCUGGACUGCAUCUGACGCUGAGGCUCGAAAGCUAGGGUAGC